rnacentral:tRNA from 1 species
GGCCGCCUGGCGAAAUGGCAUCGCGUCUGACUACGAUAGUAUGGCGAUCAGGAGAUUGCAGGUUCGACCCCUGCGGUGGUCA